rnacentral:rRNA from 1 species
UACGUAGGGUCCGAGCGUUGUCCGGAUUUAUUGGGCGUAAAGAGCUCGUAGGCGGUUCGGUAAGUCAGGUGUGAAAUCUCCACGCUCAACGUGGAGGCGCCACCUGAAACUGCCGUGACUCGAGUCCGGUAGGGGAGUGUGGAAGUUCCUGGUGUAGCGGUGAAAUGACGCAGAUAUCAGGAGGAACACCGGUGGCGAAGGCGGGUCUCUGGGCCGAUACUGACGCUGAGGAGCGAAAGCGUGGGGAGCGAACAGG